AAGUCGCAGGGGGCCCGGGCAACUGCGCAGUUUCGCCCUAGCUACGGGGCGGGGGCGGGGCCUGCGUUGUCAAUCUGUAGGCCACGCCCCUCGCAUGUGCUGUCGGGCGGGAGAAGAGCUUGUGCAAACUCAUGUCCAUCCAGUUGGUGAUGUCAUCCAACCAUCCCAUCCUCUGUCAUCCCCUUCUCCUCCUGCCUUCAAUCUUUCCCGGCAUCGGAGUCCUUUCCAGUGAGUUCGCUCUUUGCAUCAGGUGGCCGAAGUACUGGAGCUUCAACUUCAGCAUCAGUCCUUUCAGUUUAAAAAGUAAUAGAAGGAGCUUCCCUGGUGGCUCAGUGGUAAAGAAUCCGCCUGCCAAUGCAGAAGACACUGGUUCGAUCCCUGGUCCUGGAUGAUCCCACAUUCUAUGAAGCAACUAAGCCUGUGUGCCACAACUAUUGAGACGGUGCUCCGCAAUAAAAGUCACAGCAAUGAGAAGCCGAGCGCCGCAACGGGAGAGUAGUCCCCGCUUGCCGCAACUAGA